GCGCCCGUAGCUCAGCUGGAUAGAGCGAAGGACUUCGAAUCCUGAGGCCGGGAGUUCGAAUCUCCCCGGGCGCG
rnacentral:tRNA from 2 species